rnacentral:tRNA from 1 species
GGAGAAAUGGCAGAGUGGUCGAAUGCGGCGGUCUUGAAAACCGUUGUACGGCAACGUACCGGGGGUUCGAAUCCCUCUUUCUCCG